GAUGAACGCUAGCUACAGGCUUAACACAUGCAAGUCGAGGGGCAGCAUGGUCUUAGCUUGCUAAGGCCGAUGGCGACCGGCGCACGGGUGAGUAACACGUAUCCAACCUGCCGUCUACUCUUGGACAGCCUUCUGAAAGGAAGAUUAAUACAAGAUGGCAUCAUGAGUCCGCAUGUUCACAUGAUUAAAGGUAUUCCGGUAGACGAUGGGGAUGCGUUCCAUUAGAUAGUAGGCGGGGUAACGGCCCACCUAGUCUUCGAUGGAUAGGGGUUCUGAGAGGAAGGUCCCCCACAUUGGAACUGAGACACGGUCCAAACUCCUACGGGAGGCAGCAGUGAGGAAUAUUGGUCAAAUGGGCGAGAGCCUGAACCAGCCAAGUAGCGUGCAGGAUGACGGCCCUAAUGGGUUGUAAACUGCUUUUAUAAGGGAUAAAGUGGAGUCGUGACUCUUUUUGCAUGUACCUUAUGAAUAAGGACCGGCUAAUUCCGUGCCA
rnacentral:rRNA from 1 species